CCUACGGGAGGCAGCAGUGGGGGAUAUUGCACAAUGGGGGAAACCCUGAUGCAGCGACGCCGCGUGAGUGAAGAAGUAUUUCGGUAUGUAAAGCUCUAUCAGCAGGGAAGAAAAUGACAGUACCUGACCAAGCAGCCCCGGCUAACUCCGUGCCAGCAGCCGCGGUAAUACGUAGGGGGCAAGCGUUAUCCGGAUUUAUUGGGUUUAACGGGUGCGCAGGCGGGAGAUCAAGUCAGCGGUAAAAUGUCGGGGCUCAACCCCGGCCGGCCGUUGAAACUGGUUUUCUAGAGUGGGAGAGAAGUAGGCGGAAUUCGUGGUGUAGCGGUGAAAUGCAUAGAUAUCACGAAGAACUCCGAUUGCGAAGGCAGCAUACCGGCUCCAGACUGACGCUGAGGCACGAAAGUGUGGGGAUCGAACAGGAUUAGAUACCCGAGUAGUC
rnacentral:rRNA from 1 species